UCAUACAUCCAAACGCAACUUAAAUAUCUUGACCGAAUUUUCAAGCAAACUCACCACCCAAACCCACUCAUCCAAAAAUGUCUCCCUGCAACUGCAACUGCUGCUCUGGUGACUGCAACUCCUGCGGCUGCGGCAGCUGCAGUGUAAGUUAAU
rnacentral:sRNA from 1 species